AGCAAUUAUACAGCGAAACUGCGAAUGGCUCAUUAAAUCAGUUAUCGUUUAUUUGAUAGUGCCCAUCUACAUGGAUAACCGUGGUAAUUCUAGAGCUAAUACAUGCGUAAAAGCGCGACUUCGGGAGCGCUGUAUUUAUUAGAUUAAAGACCAAUGCCCUCCGGGGCUCACUGGUGAUUCAUGAUAACUCCUCUGAUCGCACGGCCUUGCGCCGGCGACGGCUCAUUCAAAUUUCUGCCCUAUCAACUUUCGACUUUAGUGUAGUGGACUAAAGUGGUUGCAACGGGUAACGGAGGGUUAGGGCUCGACCCCGGAGAAGGAGCCUGAGAAACGGCUACUACAUCCAAGGAAGGCAGCAGGCGCGCAAAUUACCCAAUCCCGACACGGGGAGGUAGUGACAAUAAAUACUGAUACAGGGCUCUUUCGGGUCUUGUAAUCGGAAUGAGUACAAUCUAAAUCCUUUAACGAGGAGCAAUUGGAGGGCAAGUCUGGUGCCAGCAGCCGCGGUAAUUCCAGCUCCAAUAGCGUAUAUUAAAGUUGUUGUGGUUAAAAAGCUCGUAGUUGAACCUGGGCCCCGUCCCGGCCGGUCCGCCUCACCGCGUGCACUGGUUCGGGAGGGGCUUCGCACCUUGGGGGUACGCAUGCCCUUCGCUGGGCGUGCGGGGAACCAGGACUUUUACUGUGAAAAAAUUAGAGUGUUCAAAGCAGGCCUAUGCUCGAAUACAUUAGCAUGGAAUAAUAAAAUAGGACGUGCGGUUCUAUUUUGUUGGUUAUGGGACCGCCGUAAUGAUUAAUAGGGACAGUCGGGGGCGUCAGUAUUCGGUGGUCAGAGGUGAAAUUCUUGGACCCACCGAAGACUAACUACUGCGAAAGCAUUCGCCAAGGAUGUUUUCAUUAAUCAGGAACGAAAGUUAGGGGAUCGAAAACGAUCAGAUACCGUUGUAGUCUUAACCAUAAACUAUGCCGACUAGGGAUCGGGCGAUGUUGCUUACUGACUCGCUCGGCACCUUUCGAGAAAUCAAAGUCUGU
rnacentral:rRNA from 1 species